AUACAAAAAUUAGCUGGGCAUGGUGGAGGCCAGCUACUCGGGAGGCUGAGGUAGGAGAACCCGGGAGGCUGAGGUUGAAGUGAGCAGAGAUCGCACCACUGCACUCCAGCCUGGCAACAGAGCGAGACUCUGUAACAAAAAAAAAAAAAUUAUAUGGAAAGAUGUCUACCUUACUCAUAGUAAGAAUUGUGCAUUGAAACUGCCAAGCUUAAAUAAUGAAGUUCGACAAAUAUGAUUAAGUACAGAGUUUAUUUGAGCACAAAGCUUGAGGAUGUCCACCCACGAGACACUGACUCCAAACUAAUGGGGACAGCAUUUCCAAAGAGGAGAAGUUAUGGUUUCACUUAUAUGUGCAGAGACUGACAUUGUAGCAGGAUUGUAACAUUUUCCAUAUGAGACGAGUGCAUAAGUUACAGCUAUUUGAUUGGUUAUAGACGGCAACGUUCCAAGGAAGAUUAUUGCUCUGUGAGGAGGGGAAGCCAUCUGAGGGGGCUCUCACAGCUGGCACCUCUUGAUCUUCUUAUUUACAGGAAAAAAGGCAGAAGUUGCCACUGCAUCCUUGUGAUUCAGGCUGCAUAGCCACAUUGCUCUCAGGUUCAGAGUAGUUCAAAGUUCCAACAGCUUUAAGUUUAAAUUAGUUUAAGUUUGAAUAAUUUAAUUUCAUAAAACUACACUGUAAUUCCAGUUUUCAGCUAUCCUGUUGAAAGUGGGCAAAAUGUCUCAUAACUGUAUUGGCAAAGGAGCUGGGAAACAUAAUCUCAUGUCUUGUUUGUAGGCUAGCAGUGAGCACAACUUCUAGAGAGGGCAAUUGACAGUUCUCAUAAAAACAAUGCUAUUACUUUUUUUUUUUUUUUUUGAGAUGGAGUUUCAAUCUUGUAUCUUGUCGCCCAGCCUGGAGUGUAAUGAUGCGAUCUCAGCUCUCCUGCCUCAGCCUCCUGAGUAGCUGGGAUUACAGGCACCCAUUACCAUGCCCCGCUAAUUUUGUGUUUUUAGCAGAGAUGGGGUUUCACCAUGUUGGUCAGGCUGGUCUCAAACUCCUGACCUCAGGUGAUCCACCCGGCUCGGCCUCCCAAAGUGCUGGGAUUACAGACAUGAGCCACCAUGCCUGGCCAAGGUGCUUACUUUGUUUUUUUUCUUGGUUUUUUUUUUUUUUUUUUUUUUUUUUUUUUCUGUUUUUUUUUAAGACAGAGUCUCACUCUGUCACCCAGGCUGGAGUGCAAUGGCGCCAUCGCGGCUCACUGCAACCUCCACCUCCUGGGCUCAAGUGAUUCUCCUGCCUCAGCCUCCCAAGCAGCUGGGAUUGCAGGUGUGCACCACCACACCCGGCUAAUUUUUGCAUUUUUAGUGGAGAUGGGGUUUCACCAUGUUGGCCAGGCUGGUCUUGAACUCCUGACCUUGUGAUCCGCACACCUCGGCCUCCCAAAGUGCUGGGACUACAGGCAUGAGCCACCGCAACCGGCUGGCAAUUACUUUUUAACCUAGAGUGUUGAAAUAUACCUGGGGGAUUUAUUUUAAUCAGUUAUGGCAAGACUCCCAGACAUGCAAAUGAUCUUCAUGAAGGAAAAAGUUUAUACUUAUAGAUUCCUGGAAACAGGAGACAUGGCCCACCACACACGGGUACACCAGUAACCUCAGGAAGCACAGGGAGUGAGGGUGAGCAAGGUCCCCGCCUCUACUGGGGUUUCUGAGGGAAGGAAUGGGUGAGGCAUGGCAGGUACUCUGAGCAAAUAUAGAUUUGAAUAGUUUUGGUAAAUCAUAGGGAUGGUUUCUAGUUGUCCAGUAUUUGGCCCUGGGGUGAUUUAGGGCAGGCAGGGAGAGAUUGGCUUAUUGUGUGAGUUUGAAAAGGAGAUGGUUGGGGUGUGGGCUGUGGAUUGGUUGGUUUGUAUUUCAAAGAUGUGCUUGUAGGGGAGUUAUUCGCUGUCUCUAGGAAAUAGCUAGCCCUGGGAAGGGAGGUCUCCAGGAUUAAGGCCCCAAAUGCCAGAGCAUCAGGAAUACGGAAAAUAAGAAAAUAUAAUAAAUACACCCAGCAAUUCCAUUUCUAGUAAAUUUUAUUAAAAAUAUGCUAUUCAUUUUCCUAGUCUAUUUCUCCCAUCCUGCUUGGUGACUUUCUCAUAUAUUUCUCUAGCUCUGUAAAUAUCUCAAUGUAUUCUACCCCAGCCUUGCUCUCCCAGAAUGACCUUGUUUGCCUCCUUCACAAACAAAAUACAAGCAGUUAAAAGACAGUAUCCACACCCUCCUGUCUACCAGCAAUCACACCUCCUUUCUCUGUCUCUUGCUGGAAAUUGAACCGUCCAUGCCAAGGCUGGCCUGUGUCCCAGCUUCCAUCCUCUUAGGCCAACUCAAGGACUUUCCUGACAAUUCCCUCUCCCUUUCCUGCAUGCUCUGGUCUGAAUGCUGGUGUCCCCCAACCCCAUAUUCAAGUAUUGAAAUCCUAACCCCAAAGGUGAGGAUAUUAGGAGUUGGGGCCUUUAGGAGGUGAUGCGGUCUUGAGGGUGGAACCCCCAUGACUGGGAAUAGCACCCUUACAGUAGAAGUCACAGAGAGCUGUCUCACUCCUUCCACCCUGUGAGGACACAACAAAGAAGGCACCCUCUGUUGAACCAGAAAGUGAACCCUCGCCAGCCACCAAAGCUGCUGAUGCCUUGAUCUGGGACUUCCCAGCCUCCAGAACUCAAUAAUUCGGCAUAGACCUGCUCUUGUUAAAGUAAUUUUAAUUUCGAGCGUAGCCUUCAGCAUUGCCCUGAUAUGUGGGAUGGCAAUCUCCUAUAUGAUAUAUCGACUGGCACAGGCUGAGGAAAGACAACAGCUCGAGUCACUUUAUAAGAACCUCAGGAUACCGUUAUUAGGAGAUGAAGAAGAGGGCUCAGAGGACGAGGGGUCCUAAAUCAGAUGAGGUGCCCAGGCUGGGCAUGGUGGCUCAUGCCUGUAAUCCCAGCACUUUGGGAGGCAGAGGUGGGCGGAUCACCUGAGCUCAGGAGUUCCAGAUGAGCAGCCCAGAGAGAGGGAAGACAGGGAGGAGCCUCCUGCAUGCCUUGGUGGCUCUGGAAUCCACCAGGGACUAUAGACUGUGCAUGGUCCUCCAGGCAGUGGUAGC
rnacentral:lncRNA from 1 species